AAACACUUUAUGGCCACCUGCUGCUGCGAUUAAUGGAUAGACAAAGCAUGGUGGGGAUGGCUGAGCUAGCACAGCAACUCAUCUGUCGAGGGAGUGGUGCUGUGGUGGUGGUGGUCAUGGACUCAUUGGGCAUGGCCGCCUCGUCCGAGCCAAAGGCAUGUGAAGCGCUCGGAGUCAGAGAGACCAGGGCUGGGCUGGCGUCUGCUCGCUUCCCGAGAGAACCCCUUAUGACCACAACCAACUGAUUCCUAUUGCAGCUAACUCAAGUGUGGAACUAGCUUUACGCUUGAAGCU